AACGCGAAGAACCUUACCAACCCUUGACAUCCUGUGCUACAUCCAGAGAUGGAUGGUUCCCUUCGGGGACGCAGUGACAGGUGCUGCAUGGCUGUCGUCAGCUCGUGUCGUGAGAUGUUCGGUUAAGUCCGGCAACGAGCGCAACCCACAUCCCUAGUUGCCAGCAGUUCGGCUGGGCACUCUAUGGAAACUGCCCGUGAUAAGCGGGAGGAAGGUGUGGAUGACGUCAAGUCCUCAUGGCCCUUACGGGUUGGGCUACACACGUGCUACAAUGGUAGUGACAAUGGGUUAAUCCCAAAAAGCUAUCUCAGUUCGGAUUGUCGUCUGCAACUCGACGGCAUGAAGUCGGAAUCGCUAGUAAUCGCGUAACAGCAUGACGCGGUGAAUACGUUCCCGGGCCUUGUACACACCG
rnacentral:rRNA from 1 species